rnacentral:rRNA from 1 species
AUUGCCUUUAGCCCCUUAUGUUCGACGUGCGGGGUGAACCAAAAGCUGGAAUUGGCCGGUCAGACUGUGAAACUGCGAAUGGCUCACUAAACCAGUUAUAGUUUGUUUGAUGGUAUCUACUACUCGGAUAACCAUAGUAAUUCUAGAGCUAAUACGUGCAACAAACCACGACUUCUGGAACAGAUGCAUUUAUUAGAUAAAAGGUCGAUGCGGGCUCUACCUAUUGCUGCGAUGAUUCAUGAUAACUUGAUGGAUCGCACGACCAUCGUGCCGGCGACGCAACAUUCAAAUUUCUGCCCUAUCGACUUUUGAUGGUAGGAUAGUGGCCUACCAUGGUGGCGACGGGUGACGGAGAAUUAGGGUUCGAUUCUGGAGAGGGAGCCUGAUAAACCGCUACCACAUCCAAGGAAGGUAGCAGGCGUGCAAAUUACCCAAUCCUGACACGGGGAGGUAGUGAAAAUAAAUAACAAUACCAGACUCUAUGAGUCUGGUAAUUGGAAUAGGUACAAUCUAAAUCCCUUAACGAGGAUCCCUUGGAGGGAAAGUCUGGUGCUAGCAGCCGCGGUAAUUCCAGCUCUAAUAACGUAUAUUUAAGUUGUUGCAGUUAAAAAGCUCGUAGUUGGACUUUGGGAUGGGCCGACCGGUUCACCUUAGGUGUGCACCGGUCAUCUCGUCCCUUCUGCCGGCGAUGUGCUCCUAGCCUUAAUUGGCCGGGUCGUGCCUCCGACGCUGUUACUUUGAAAAAAUUAGAGUGCUUAAAGUAAGCCUACACUCUAUAUACAUUAGCAUGGGAUAACAUUAUAGGAUUUCGGUCCUAUUACGUUGGCCUUCGGGAUCAAAGUAAUGAUUAACAAGGACAGUCAGGGGCAUUUGUAUUUCAUAGUCAGAGGUGAAAUUCUUGGAUUUAUGAAAGACGAACAACUGUGAAAGCAUUUGCCAAGGAUGUUUUCACUAAUCAAGAAUGAAAGUUGGAGGCUCAUAUACAAUCAGAUACCGUCCUAGUCUCAACCAUAAACGAUGUCGACCAGGGAUCGACGAAUGUUACUUUUAGGAUUCCGCCGGCACCUUAUGAGAAAUCAAAGUUUUUGUGUUCUAGGAGGAGUAUGGUCGCAAGGCUAAAACUUAAAGGGAUUGACGGAAGAGGUUAAUUUGACUCAACACUAGGAAACAUACCAGGUCCAGACAAGUUCUCAUGCGUAGCUAUGCAACUGUGUGGCUACUCAGCCACCUUCCGGUAAAAGGACCAUAACCUUUUGGAGAAAUAUUCAAAUUACAAAUGGUUUAAUGCGUUGGAAACUAGAUUCAAAGAGCUAUGAUUUAAAGAAAAACAUCAUGUAAAAUAGCUCUGUAUUCUGAGAGUUAUACCCAUUCAAAGCCAGGUGAUGUACAAAUUAGGACAUCUUUUCCACUAAAUAUUUCCAACUCGAUCCAAAAAACUUCUUCCCACUUAUAAACCUCCUUAAUAUGUUCCAAAAUACCUUAAAAUGUAUUUUCAUUUCAAAAUUGAAGUGGUUCUAUCCCAUAGGUCUCCGUUAUUACUAAUAAAUAUUAUUCCCAAAUAAUGUUGGUGCUUUUUAAAAUCUUAAAUCAUUAAAAAAUUUUACGGGGCCUUAAAUUGUCUCAAGAAUUAUCAUCAUUGGGAUAUAGUACUU